GACGAACGCUGGCGGCGUGCUUAACACAUGCAAGUCGAACGGAAAGGCCCUGCUUUUGUGGGGUGCUCGAGUGGCGAACGGGUGAGUAACACGUGAGUAACCUGCCCUUUACUUUGGGAUAACUUCAGGAAACUGGGGCUAAUACCGGAUAGGAGCUCCUGCUGCAUGGUGGGGGUUGGAAAGUUUCGGCGGUUGGGGAUGGACUCGCGGCUUAUCAGCUUGUUGGUGGGGUAGUGGCUUACCAAGGCUUUGACGGGUAGCCGGCCUGAGAGGGUGACCGGCCACAUUGGGACUGAGAUACGGCCCAGACUCCUACGGGAGGCAGCAGUGGGGAAUAUUGCACAAUGGGCGGAAGCCUGAUGCAGAAACGCCGCGUGCGGGAUGACGGCCUUCGGGUUGUAAACCGCUUUCGCCUGUGACGAAGCGUGAGUGACGGUAAUGGGUAAAGAAGCACCGGCUAACUACGUG
rnacentral:rRNA from 1 species